GUGCGGUGUCGUGGUUAGAUUCCUCAUUUUUAGUAGAAGAAAAAGUGAGUGGUUUUGUGCAAAAAACGCAAGGACGAGGAGACGUGUGGCCAUCACGAAGUCGGCGUAAAAAACGAAGAAAAUACGUAUUUAAUCAUCUUGCAUCGAUCAAUGGUGCUCUAAUGACACGCUUUGAAGCAAAAGAUUUGACAGUAUGUGACAAAGUUGCUAGUACUUGGCUUGCAAAUGCACCAUGGCGUAAACAACAUGAUGGCAGUGUGUAGAAGAGAACUGAUAUCUACAAUCAAUGCCUAACGAUGAAGAAAAGGCAAUCAAAAGUCCGGUUUUAGGUCGACUAUAGAGAAUUUUCUUAGGCUGUGCUCAACGCAAAAUUGUUAUCAACGCUGCAAAUGUAUUAUAUAUGUAGGUCCUUGGCAGAGCCGUAAAAUUCUCUCUAAAUGUCCGCUGCUAGUCAAGUGCUCGGUUUAUUUUUUGGACAACUAUAAGUACAACGCACGUAAGCAUUGUGAAA